rnacentral:rRNA from 1 species
GACGUAGGGUCCGAGCGUUGUUCGGAAUUACUGGGCGUAAAGGGCUCGUAGGCGGCCAACUAAGUCAGACGUGAAAUCCCUCGGCUUAACCGGGGAACUGCGUCUGAUACUGGAUGGCUUGAGUGUGGGAGAGGGAUGCGGAAUUCCAGGUGUAGCGGUGAAAUGCGUAGAUAUCUGGAGGAACACCGGUGGCGAAGGCGGCAUCCUGGACCAUUACUGACGCUGAGGAGCGAAAGCCAGGGGAGCAAACGGG